rnacentral:rRNA from 1 species
UGCCUACGGGAGGCAGCAGUGGGGAAUAUUGCACAAUGGGGGAAACCCUGAUGCAGCGACGCCGCGUGAAGGAAGAAGUAUUUCGGUAUGUAAACUUCUAUCAGCAGGGAAGAAAAUGACGGUACCUGACUAAGAAGCCCCGGCUAACUACGUGCCAGCAGCCGCGGUAAUACAUAGGGAGCAAGCGUUGUUCGGAAUGACUGGGCGUAAAGGGUGCGUAGGCGGUUGUACAAGUUAGAAGUGAAAUACCCAGGGCUUAACUCGGGUGCUGCUUCUAAAACUGUAUGACUUGAGUGGAGUAGAGG